rnacentral:misc_RNA from 1 species
CCAAACUUGGUCAUUUAGAGGAAGUAAAAGUCGUAACAAGGUUUCCGUAGGUGAACCUGCGGAAGGAUCAUUACAAAUCCAUCACGUCUCUCUCCCGAGACCACGUUGAAAUGUGUGCGGUCGGUCGGCGGCGGCGGCGGUAACGCUGCCGUCCGUCACCACCGUACCAUCGUGUAUGGCGCACGUGGCGGCGCGUCAGCCGGCUUCGCAUCAUCGCCAUCGCGCGUCAUGUUGCUGUCGCCGUGCCGUGCGCGCCGCCCGUGCAUCUGCGCAAACCAGUUGAUACUGUUGUCCAAGUGUAUUAUGUUUUCGAACAUUAGUACAACUUAUAACAAUGGAUCUCUAGGCUCUUGCAUCGAUGAAGAACGCAGC